rnacentral:rRNA from 1 species
GACGAACGCUGGCGGCGUGCUUAACACAUGCAAGUCGAACGGAAAGGCCCUGCUUUUGUGGGGUGCUCGAGUGGCGAACGGGUGAGUAACACGUGUGUAACCUGCCCUUGACUUUGGGAUAACUUCAGGAAACUGGGGCUAAUACCGGAUAGGAGCUCCUGCUGCAUGGUGGGGGUUGGAAAGUUUCGGCGGUUGGGGAUGGACUCGCGGCUUAUCAGCUUGUUGGUGGGGUAGUGGCUUACCAAGGCUUUGACGGGUAGCCGGCCUGAGAGGGUGACCGGCCACAUUGGGACUGAGAUACGGCCCAGACUCCUACGGGAGGCAGCAGUGGGGAAUAUUGCACAAUGGGCGGAAGCCUGAUGCAGCAACGCCGCGGGCGGGAUGACGGCCUUCGGGUUGUAAACCGCUUUCGCCUGUGACGAAGCGUGAGUGACGGUAAUGGGUAAAGAAGCACCGGCUAACUACGUG